rnacentral:ncRNA from 1 species
UCCCUGGUUGAUCCUGCCAGUAGUCAUAUGCUUGUCUCAAAGAUUAAGCCAUGCAUGUCUCAGUGCAAGCCGCAUUAAGGUGAAACCGCGAAAGGCUCAUUAAAUCAGUUGUGGUUCCUUAGAUCGUACCCAAGUUACUUGGAUAACUGUGGUAAUUCUAGAGCUAAUACAUGCCGACAGAGUUCCGACCGUCGCGGCGCCCUCGGGCGUCGCUCGCGGGAGGAACGCUUUUAUUAGAUCAAAACCGGCCCGUCGCGGCGCGCUUCGUGCGCGUCCCGAUCGCGGCCCGCGCAAAGACCUGGUGACUCUGAAUAACUUCGAGCUGAUCGCACGGUCUCCGUACCGGCGACGCAUCUUUCAAAUGUCUGCCUUAUCAACUGUCGAUGGUAGGUUCCAUGCCUACCAUGGUGGUAACGGGUAACGGGGAAUCAGGGUUCGAUUCCGGAGAGGGAGCCUGAGAAACGGCUACCACAUCCAAGGAAGGCAGCAGGCGCGCAAAUUACCCACUCCCGGAACGGGGAGGUAGUGACGAAAAAUAACGAUACGGGACUCAUCCGAGGCCCCGUAAUCGGAAUGAGAACACUUUAAAACCUUUAAACGAGGAUCAAUUGGAGGGCAAGUCUGGUGCCAGCAGCCGCGGUAAUUCCAGCUCCAAUAGCGUAUAUUAAAGUUGUUGCGGUUAAAAAGCUCGUAGUCGGAUCUGUGUCUGGACGGUGCCGGACCACCCUGGCGGUCCGUCGUGUCGCGGCCGGCCGUGUCGCGGGACCACGUGUCCCGUCGGCGCGGUCGCCGUCGCGCUCGUCAGCCGUCUCGGGGUGUUAGUUACCGGCACGUCGGCCGGACGUAUUGUCGGCAGGCGGACACGUGUCUCGUGCUUCCGGCGCGCCGCGCGGCCACGCGUCGCGCGGCCGUCGGUGUUCGACGACGGCGGCCGCCUACUCCAAUCUUGCUGCGCGGUGCUCUUCACCGAGUGCCGUCGGCGGGCCGACACGUUUACUUUGAACAAAUUAGAGUGCUCAAAGCAGGCUCGAAUCUGGCGGGGCGGCUUCACGGCCGUCUCGUCAAAAGGCCCUGAAUACUGGUCGCAUGGAAUAAUGGAACAAGACCUCGGUCCCGCGCAUCUCCGCCCUUCGCGGGCGCGCGAAAUCGCCCUCCGGGGCGUUUCCGUGCGCGGGCCGCCGGGCCGCGGGCGCCAGUCGCCCGCGCGUCCCGCCGGGCCGGUUUUCGGGACCGGAGGUAAUGAUCAACAGAGACGGGCGGGGGCAUUCGUACCGAGACGUUAGAGGUGAAAUUCUUGGAUCGUCUCGAGACGAACUGACGCGAAAGCAUUUGCCAAGUACGUUCUCGUAUGAUCAAGAACGAAAGUUAGAGGUUCGAAGGCGAUCAGAUACCGCCCUAGUUCUAACUGUAAACCGAUGCCAGCUAGCGAUCCGCCGCGUUUCAUUAACCGACCCGGCG